rnacentral:lncRNA from 1 species
CAGGUCAGUAGGAGAUUUGAAGAAGGCUAAAGAUUCCUCAAUAUUGGAGAUGAAAGAUCAGUUCCAGUUCUAGCAUUAGGGAUUAUUAAGCUUGUAUUCAAAUCCAAUGUAAUUAUUUUUAUUGAAUGUCACUUUUGUCCUUCUUUUUUAUCAAACAUUAUUUCUAUAGGUCUCUUGGCCAUGUACGGUUAUAAAAUUUUAAUAAAAAAAAUAAUUUUAAUAUCAUUAUG